AUUGAACGCUGGCGGCAGGCCUAACACAUGCAAGUCGAGCGGAUGACGGGAGCUUGCUCCUUGAUUCAGCGGCGGACGGGUGAGUAAUGCCUAGGAAUCUGCCUGGUAGUGGGGGACAACGUUUCGAAAGGAACGCUAAUACCGCAUACGUCCUACGGGAGAAAGCAGGGGACCUUCGGGCCUUGCGCUAUCAGAUGAGCCUAGGGCGGAUUAGCUUGUUGGUGAGGUAAUGUCUCACCAAGGAGACGAUCCGUAACUGGUCUGAGAGGAUGAUCAGUCACACUGGAACUGAGACACGGUCCCGACUCCUACGGGAAGCAGCAGUGGGGAAUAUUGGACAAUGGGCUGAAGCCUGAUCCAGCCAUGCCGCGUGUGUGAAGAAGGUCUUCGGAUUGUAAAGCACUUUAAGUUGGGAGGAAGGGUUGUAGAUAAUACUCUGCAAUUUUGACGUUACCGACAGAAUAAGCACCGGCUAACUCUGUGCCAGCCGCCGCGGUAAAAC
rnacentral:rRNA from 1 species